rnacentral:rRNA from 1 species
UACGAAGGGGGCUAGCGUUGCUCGGAAUCACUGGGCGUAAAGGGUGCGUAGGCGGGUCUUUAAGUCAGGGGUGAAAUCCUGGAGCUCAACUCCAGAACUGCCUUUGAUACUGAAGAUCUUGAGUUCGGGAGAGGUGAGUGGAACUGCGAGUGUAGAGGUGAAAUUCGUAGAUAUUCGCAAGAACACCAGUGGCGAAGGCGGCUCGCUGGGACGGAACUGACGCUGAGGCGCGAAAGCGUGGGGAGCAAACAGGG